AGCGAACGCUGGCGGCAGGCCUAACACAUGCAAGUCGAACGAAGUCUUCGGACUUAGUGGCGGACGGGUGAGUAACACGUGGGAACGUGCCUUUAGGUUCGGAAUAACUCAGGGAAACUUGUGCUAAUACCGAAUGUGCCCUUCGGAGGAAAGAUUUAUCGCCUUUAGAGCGGCCCGCGUCUGAUUAGCUAGUUGGUGAGGUAAAGGCUCACCAAGGCGACGAUCAGUAGCUGGUCUGAGAGGAUGAUCAGCCACAUUGGGACUGAGACACGGCCCAAACACCUACGGGAGGCAGCAGUGGGGAAUCUUGCGCAAUGGGCGAAAGCCUGACGCAUCCAUGCCGCGUGAAUGAUGAAGGUCUUAGGAUUGUAAAAUUCUUUCACCGGGGACGAUAAUGACGGUACCCGGAGAAGAAGCCCCGGCUAACUUCGUGCCAGCCGCCGCCGUAAUAC
rnacentral:rRNA from 1 species